rnacentral:lncRNA from 1 species
AUAACUAUUUAUCAAAAAAAAAAAAAUUGGGAGUAAUUGAUUAUUACAAGUAUCUAAUUGAUUAGCUAAACACUUACGUCAUUUAUUUGGCUCAUAGAUUAUUUCCAAAAAUACAUAAUUUCUUGGCCUAUAAAUAGAGGGUCUCUACCAUUUUAAAUCAUCCGUAAAACAUGAAAUACAUUACUUUUCCUUUCUCUCAACCUCUUUAAAUUAU